rnacentral:misc_RNA from 1 species
UCCGACUUUCAUCGGCAGUCUCGCUAGAGUGCCCACCCGAAGUGCUGGCAACUAGCGAUAAGGGUUGCGCUCGUUGCGGGACUGAACCCAACAUCUCACGACACGAGCUGACGACAACCAUGCACCACCUGUGCACCGGCCCCGAAGGGCUGCCGUAUUUCUACGGCAUUCCAGUGCAUGUCAAGCCUUGGUAAGGUUCUUCGCGUUGCGUCGAAUUGAACCACAUGCUCCGCUGCUUGUGCGGGCCCCCGUCAAUUCCUUUGAGUUUUAGCCAUGCGGCCGUACUCCCCAGGCGGGACACUUACUGCGUUAGCGACGGCACCGAGGGGGUCGCUCCCCCCGACGCCUAGUGUCCAUCGUUUACGGCGUGGACUAC